CCUACGGGGGGCUGCAGUGGGGAAUAUUGGACAAUGGGGGCAACCCUGAUCCAGCCAUGCCGCGUGUGUGAAGAAGGCCCUCGGGUUGUAAAGCACUUUCAGUGAGGAAGAACGCCUGGUGGUUAAUACCCAUCAGGAAAGACAUCACUCACAGAAGAAGCACCGGCUAACUCCGUGCCAGCAGCCGCGGUAAUACGGAGGGUGCGAGCGUUAAUCGGAAUUACUGGGCGUAAAGCGCGCGUAGGUGGCUUGAUAAGCCGGUUGUGAAAGCCCCGGGCUCAACCUGGGAACGGCAUCCGGAACUGUCAAGCUAGAGUGCAGGAGAGGAAGGUAGAAUUCCCGGUGUAGCGGUGAAAUGCGUAGAGAUCGGGAGGAAUACCAGUGGCGAAGGCGGCCUUCUGGACUGACACUGACACUGAGGUGCGAAAGCGUGGGUAGCAAACAGGAUCAGAUACCCUAGUAGUC
rnacentral:rRNA from 1 species